rnacentral:misc_RNA from 1 species
GAUGAAGAACGUAGCGAAAUGCGAUAAGUAAUGUGAAUUGCAGAAUUCAGUGAAUCAUCGAAUCUUUGAACGCACAUUGCGCCCAUUAGUAUUCUAGUGGGCAUGCCUGUUUGAGCGUCAUUUCAACCCUCAAGCCUUAGUUGCUUGGUGUUGGGAGCUUAUCUUGCCGAAAGGCGGGACAACUCCUUAAAUUUAUCGGCGGAGUCGCGGUGACCCCAAGCGUAGUAAAUUAUUUUUUCCUCGCUUUAGGUGUUAACGCUGGCUUUUCUAGCCGUUAAACCCCCCCUAAUAUUUUAAUGGUUGACCUCGGAUCAGGUAGGACUACCCGCUGAACUUAAGCAUAUCAAUAAGCGGAGGA